AGAGCAGCCUGGUGCUGCCUGGUGCUUCCCACACACCAGCACCCUGCAGGCUUGCUAACACCCACAGGGCUGCAGCUAAAGCACUGCAGGGAGUGGAUUGCUCUGAAGGUUUAUUCUUCACCUGUGACAAUCAUAGUGGAUCUGUUUUCUCAGCCUGUGUCUCCCACCAACACUUUGCCUACAUGACUAUUGACUCUUCAAAAUGAGUGGAGCUGAAAGAAAUUAGCUAUCCAUUGAGUAUUUUUGCUGACUGCAACUGCAGCUCCAUCAGAGCAUCACAGGAGUUUCAUGUAGCUGGAAAGGACUUCAGGCCUGAAGUGUGUCAAGCUUUUCAGCUGCAGGAAAAAUGCUGCAAUGAAAAACUUCAAAGAGGGUGAGAAGUCUUCAUGAAUGACUUGAGGGGGAAGUUUUGGCAGGGUACAUUGAGCUUUUUACUCUGAAUUUAAGAUGCAGGAAAAUACUCCAAGCACAGGAAUUCACAUUCCAUUCUGAGUUAAAGAUUAAAUUAAUCUGGUAGUCACCCCGACUUUUGACUAGAUGUCAGCACCUCUGGGUGUCUAAAUGUCCCUGUUAUUAAAAUCCCUGGCUUUUCUCUGUGGCUGUUAUGGGACAUCCUGAGCUUUGGAAAAUGUAGAUCUAAAUGGAGAGUUUUGGAAGACAAUGCUUUAGACUCAGUUAUUUAAUAGCUGUUUUACUCCAGUUGAUGGCUGAGGAAUAAUUACAUGAUCUCUUGGGAGAUUCCCAAUGCUCUACCACCUAAAGCUAUGAAUGGUUUGAUGCCAACAGUGAGUGACAAACCUUGUGCAUCACUAUUUCCUCUCUGCUUAACCAGUGGAGAAAGCAGAGGUGCUGUACACAAGAAAACAGCUCACUGUAGUGCAAACUCUGCACACAGGAUUUGUUUCAUCUGCUCUAUUCUAUGCCUCCAAAGCUGAAAUAAAGCAUUUUUUACAUGCCCAAAGUACCUCACAGGAACAAAGGAGAUUAUGGGAUUGGUAUGAGCAAUUUGGUGUGCCCAGAAAACCCUAAAAGAUCUGCCCUGUAGAUGAGCAGUCCUGGGAGCAGCUGGACCAGUUUUGGAUACUAAAGCAAAGCAAAAGCAACUGGAGAAACACCUCAAAUUUAUUGAACCCUCUGGGGGCUUUUUGUGUGUGAAGUUAUAUUCAUCUUCCCAGAGUACUAUUAGCAUAUUCACCUACAUUUAAAUAAUUAAUUUCCUUGUUAUACGCCAACUCUUAAUUUUUUGUUCUUUCAGAAUUAUUGAAAUCUGUGACAAGAGGUAGUGAUAUGAGGAAAUGCUUGGUUUCUGGUUUGUUAAUCAAUUCAAUAAUAUCUCAUUCUUCACAAUUGCUUUAUUUAAUAGCACCAAUUUCUGCUUUCAGGUCUUGACUUCCCUGUUAAGCAUUUAAGUUUCAGAAUUUUUUUUAAUCUUUUAACCUUUAUCCCUUUGAUUUUUUUUUCUCAGCCUAUAAUUUAUUAUACAGUCUCCUGUCAGAGGAGGAGGUAGACUAGGUGAUUUUUACUGUAUUGCAAAUUAUAAUUAUUAUAGUUAUUUGCAUUAGUAAUGGAUUCAUUCUUAUCACUGAAAACAAUUCCAUUAUCUGAUCAGACAGUUAUCUUCACACUGUCCGUGCUCAUAUACUUUUAUUAGGCACCUCUUUCUCUGUGGGUCAAAAGGAGAAUUAUUCUUUGGUGCAGUCACUCUGCCCUCCACUUUUAACAUUUUUCCCUGGUUAAAAGGAAGGUUUUUUUACCUUAUGAGGGUCCCAUGCAACACAAAUGUGCUGCUUUCUGCUGCUGUGCUGCCAUCCCUUCAGAGCCAGCAAGGGAAGGCACAUGAGCAAUGUCCCCUCUGUCACAGCCACUGGGAGAGGCUUCCUAAUUCAGGUUCUGUGGGAGGGAGUGAGAGACUGGUUUUCAUGACCCAGCAAAGACACUUUGGCUCCUUUUAAAUGGAGCCAAAUAUUAAAUUUUAUAUUUUAAUUUAAAUGGAAUUAAAGCAAA